rnacentral:rRNA from 1 species
UACGGGGGGGGCAAGCGUUGUUCGGAAUUACUGGGCGUAAAGGGUGCGUAGGCGGCUUUCUAAGUUGGAUGUGAAAACUAUGGGCUCAACCCAUAGCCUGCAUCCAAAACUGGAGAGCUUGGGUUCUGGAGGGGAAAGCGGAAUUCCUGGUGUAGCGGUGAAAUGCGUAGAUAUCAGGAGGAACACCGGUGGCGAAAGCGACGGACUGGAUAUCUUCUGACGCUGAGGCGCGAAAGCUAGGGGAGCAAACGGG